rnacentral:lncRNA from 1 species
UGGAUUCGGGGUCGUUUGGGAAGGCUUCUCUCAAAAUGACUUCGCCAAUGAAACUAAAGUCAGUGAAACAAAAAAAAUAGUUUUACCUGACUUCUAGUUCAUUUUAGCAUCGGUUUAUAAAAUGGCUUGACUUCUAGUUCAUUUUAGCAUCGGUUUAUAAAAUGGCUUGACUUCUAGUUCAUUUUAGCAUCGGUUUAUAAAACGGCUUCACGCUACAAUGUCUCCAUUUGUGCAAAACAGGUGAAGCUGAAGUCAAAAUAAACACUGCCAAACAGGGUCGAAAUCGUUCCUUAAGGGCAGUCCCAACCCAACACACUAGCCAUAGUUUUCAUAAGCUCCACAUCAUCAAGAAACUAGUACCGGACACUACUCUUCCAAUGCAAAUACCACUAUUUCGUACUUGAAUUUAAUACUAAUUAUCUCUCAUUAUGUCUUGGAUGGUGUGUAGAAACUAGGUCUUAUGCAAAAUCUGGUUUCCUUCUCUUUCUCCAUUUACUCCAUUGCCACAUCAUCUUUUAUCCUAGGUGACAGCUCAUUUCAUUUUAUGGAUACCAUCCUAGUCAUUGAGUUAGGACUGCCCAAACAGCUUUAGCUUAAACGUUGCUUAACAACUUCUGACCCGACUGGUGUUGUGCUCAAUACUCAGAUAAAAACUGCAACCCGAUCCUCAAUUCCUCCAAUCAAACACUUCCUUUUGUUCCGAAUGCUCUUACCUAAC